AUUGAACGCUGGCGGCAGGCCUAACACAUGCAAGUCGAACGAGUGGCGGACGGGUGAGUAAUGUAUGGGCAACUGCCCGAUGGAGGGGGAUAACUACUGGAAACGGUAGCUAAUACCGCAUACUAUCGGAUGUACCCAGCUGGGAUUAGCUAGUAGGUGGGGUAAAGGCUCACCUGGGCGACGAUCCCUAGCUGGUCUGAGAGGAUGACCGGCCACACUGGGACUGAGACACGGUCCAGACUCCUACGGGAGGCAGCAGUGGGGAAUAUUGCACAAUGGGCGCAAGCCUGAUGCAGCCAGGCCGCGUGUAUGAAGAAGGCCUUCGGGUUGUAAAGUACUUUCAGCGAGGAGGCGUUACUCGCAGAAGAAGCACCGGCUAACUCCGUGCCAGCAGCCGCGGUAAUUC
rnacentral:rRNA from 1 species